rnacentral:lncRNA from 1 species
UGUUUAUCCUUGCACCAAUAUCAUUUUCUCCUACUUAUUGGAGCUUUAGCAGUAAGACUUAUAUCUGGUAGGAUGAUUCCUUUCAACAUAGUUCUUCAAGAAUGUCUUGGCUACAAUUCACCUCAAAAAUGUGUCCAGUCCACUGCCAGCCCACCAAGGAAAGAGAGACGGGAAGGAAGCCUCAUCCCGUGCAGUGCACCAUUGGCAAUACUAAGAAAUGGAGCCAGGACCUUGAGAGGUACCCAAAGGAAGAUUAUGGCAGAGAACCAGGGCUCAACAUUAAGGAAGAUAAUUGAAGGUCAUUCAGCUGAAAAUAAUUCAUAUUUAUCCACGGCUUCCUGUACCAGAGCAUCUGGUUUCCCUUAGCCAGCAUGGUGUCCUCUGGUUCUGACUGUGGUGGCCUACAGCAACCACAUUUUUGCUAAAAAAGAAAAGAGUGCUUUCUUACAUCUGUUCCCGAGAUGUUUUUAAACUUCCUUGUACAGAGCAACGUUCUGCUUUUAGAUGAACAAAGACUAAAACUUCAUGGAGUUAGGUGCUGGUGACUCUGAGCAUGCUCCUGGGCAGCUUCUCUGGUGCUUUCUCUUUCCAACAAGACCAAUCACAGAAUUAAACAUUAGGAAAACUAAGGUCAACGAGUCCAUCUUACUAACUCCUACCAGAACUUCACAGUGCUAAGUGGGCUUGGAUCUGUCCUAUUGUGCUUAUCUCUACAGAUGGAGAAUAUAUUGACUCAUCACCAGGCUACUAGAUGAAUACUGGACAGGCACAGGUUGCAGCAUACCUGCUUACAGUAGGGCCCCGUUGUUAGUUUUACUUUUUUUGUCCAUGACUGUUGUAUUAGCAAUAGAAAUUCAUACCUGUGUUUAAACGAUAAUCUCUUUC